rnacentral:rRNA from 1 species
GAUGAACGCUGGCGGCGUGCCUAAUACAUGCAAGUCGAGCGAACGGACGAGAAGCUUGCUUCUCUGAUGUUAGCGGCGGACGGGUGAGUAACACGUGGAUAACCGACCUAUAAGACUGGGAUAACUUCGGGAAACCGGAUCUAAUACCGGAUGAUAUUUUGAACCGCAUGGUUCAAAAGUGAAAGACGGUCUUGCUGUCACUUAUAGAUGGAUCCGCGCUGCAUUAGCUAGUUGGUAAGGUAACGGCUUACCAAGGCGACGAUGCAUAGCCGACCUGAGAGGGUGAUCGGCCACACUGGAACUGAGACACGGUCCAGACUCCUACGGGAGGCAGCAGUAGGGAAUCUUCCGCAAUGGGCGAAAGCCUGACGGAGCCACGCCGCGUGAGUGAUGAAGGUCUUCGGAUUGUAAAACUCUGUUAUUAGGGAAGAACAUAUGUGUAAGUAAAUGUGCACAUCUUGACGGUACCUACUGAGAAAGCCACGGCUAACUACGUG